UACGUAGGGUGCGAGCGUUAAUCGGAAUUACUGGGCGUAAAGCGUGCGCAUGCGGCUUCGCAAGUCAGGCGUGAAAUCCCCGGGCUUAACCUGGGAAUGGCGUCUGAAACUACGGAGCUGGAGUGUGGCAGAGGGAGGUAGAAUUCCACGUGUAGCGGUGAAAUGCGUAGAUAUGUGGAGGAAUACCGAUGGCGAAGGCAGCCUCCGGGGCCAACGCUGACGCUCAUGCACGAAAGCGUGGGGAGCAAACAGG
rnacentral:rRNA from 1 species